ensembl:lncRNA LINC01585 long intergenic non-protein coding RNA 1585
CCCUCUGGGGAAGCCAGCCACCAUGUUGUGAAGAUACUCAAGCAGCCCUAUGGAGAGGCCCACACACUGGGGAGGCACUGCGGCUUUCUGCCGACAGCCUUGUGAAUGAGACACCUUGAAAGAGGAUCCUCCAGCCCCAGCCAAGCUUUCAAAUGGUUCCAACUCUGACAUGCUGACAACUUCAUGAGAGGCCCUGAGCCAGAACCACCCAAACUCCUGACCCAUUAGUGUGUUAUGUAACAAAUGUUUGUUGUUUCAUGCCACUAAGUUUUGGGGCAAUUUGCUACCUCUAGCCAUUGUUCCCAGCUGGUGUGUAGUCUGACUGGCAGGUGCCCAUGCUUUAUUAGUGGUUUGAUAUUUUGACUAUCGGCCCUGAGUAGGAGGAAUGACACAGAGAGGAGAUAGAGUUGUGAGUGAGAGGAGGCCAAAUCGUGGUGUCAGAGCGAGAAGCAGCACCCUGGGGAGGGCUGAGUCACUUGUGCUGUCUGGAGGAAGGCGGAGCAAAGAUCUGCAGCCCAGCUGACUGUGGUCUCAGCUUUUCUAGCCUCCAGGCUUUCUCCCGGGUUCCUAAGUCUGUAUGUGCUCACUGGAAAUGCCCCAUGACUUGGGGUGACAUGGGUCUGAAAGGAGCAUGCAAGCAGCCCCCCCACAUUGCAGUUUUGCUUUCUGUGGUUUCAGUUACCUGCGGUCAACCACCAUCUAAAAAUAGAAAAAAUUCAAACUUAGAUGAUUUCCGAAGAUCUUAAUAAUCAGGACAACCGUGAACUUCUCAUGCAACCGUCAAUGCCUGAGACAAUGGAGUGAAAGCUACCAGAUCCUUAAGAGAAAAGUGUCCCCCAGGACUCUUAAAGCCACCAGCCCUGAUGUUGGCCACGGGAAAAGACAAUCAAGGAAAAUCUCCGACCUUCGGUGAAAUGCAGAGACUAAGGGACCCCUGUGCUGCGUGUGAUGCGAUUUUGAGAGAAAAAAAAAAAAAAAGGCCAGGUGUGGUGGCUCACGCCUGUAAUCCCAGCACUUUGGGAGGCCCAGACAGGAGGAUCCCUUGAGCUCAGGAGUUAGAGACCAUUCUGGGCAACAUGGCAAAACCCUGUCUCUACAAAACAAAACAAAACAAUACAAAACAAAACAAACAGAAAAAUAGCCAGGUGUGGUGGCACGUGCCUGUGGUCCCAGCUACCCUGGAGGCCUAGGCGGGGAGAUCGCUUGAGCCUGGGAGGUCGAGGCUUCAGCGAACCAAGAUCACGCCACUGCACUCCAGCCUGGGCCACAGAGCAAGAUUGUCUUAAAAAUAAAACAAAACAAAAACUAACGGAGCCCUGAAA